UACGUAGGUGGCAAGCGUUGUCCGGAUUUACUGGGCGUAAAGGGCGUGCAGGCGGUUUGUUAAGUUCAGGGUGAAAGCUCCCGGCUCAACUGGGAGAGGUCCUUGGAUACUGAUCGACUGGAAGGCAGGAGAGGGUAGUGGAAUUCCCGGUGUAGUGGUGAAAUGCGUAGAUAUCGGGAGGAACACCAGUGGCGAAGGCGACUACCUGGCCUGUUCUUGACGCUGAGGCGCGAAAGCUAGGGGAGCAAACGGG
rnacentral:rRNA from 1 species